rfam:Xenopus tropicalis strain Nigerian scaffold_8573_contig_2, whole genome shotgun sequence.
GCCUACCGCCAUACCACCCUGAAAGCGCCCGAUCUCGUAUGAUCUCGGAAGCUAAGCAGGGACGGGCUUGGUUAGUACCUGGAUGGGAGACCGCCUGGGAAUACCAGGUGUUGUAGGCU